UUUUUUAUGGUGUAUAGAGCACGUUGGCUUUUCGCGCCAGAAGAGGAAUGUUUUCCUGAU
rnacentral:tRNA from 1 species